rnacentral:snoRNA from 1 species
AACACUUACGUGAAACUAGAAUCGAUUCCCUCCUUCUUGUCUUUCUCCAUUUUGAUCAUAAAUGCAUCCACAUAGUCAUCACCGUUCUCGCUAAUG